GAGGCCCACCUUGGCAGUAGUCCUGAAGCCCCUGGAUCUCACCUCAACUUCUGCCCACAGCAGCCACAGCAUCACUACCUGAUCCUCUUCAGGAGGAGUGGUCUGUGUGAAGAGGAGAGUGACAGGAAAGGGGGACAAGUCUCCAGGGACUCAGGGACUACUUAGUAGAAAGUGUCCUUAUAGGUGGUUUCCUAGACUUACAUCUGACCUCCACCAUUGAUUUGGUCGCCAUCCACAGAAAAGGGCAAAGGGACAAAAUAGAAAUCGAAAUCCAGCGAGCGAAAUGUGAUGAUGAGGGCCUCAUCACCUUUGGCACACCGUACUGGCUCUGCUAUACUUGAUACUGUCCAUUUUCCAAUAUAAUUGGGGAAAAAAUAUGGUGAUCAGAUGCCCGUCACCCACACCAAUCUCCCUGCUGUGGGCUGAGUUGUGUCUCCCCAACAUUCACACAUUGAUCUAACCCCUGGGACCUCAGAAUGUGAAUGUAUUUGGAGAUAGAGUUCAGUCACCUUUAUAGAGGUGAUUGAGCUAAAAUGAAGUCAUUUGGGUGACCCCUAAUCCCAUAUGACUGGUUCCCUUAAAAGAAAAGGAGAUGAGGACACAGACACACACAGAGGGAAGACCACGUGAGGACACAGGGAGAUGACGGCUGUCUGCAAGACAUCGAUUUCCAGCCUCCAGCACUGUGAGAAAAUAGAUUUCUGUUGUUCACACCACUCAGUCUGUGGCACUUUGUUAGGGCAGUCCUGGCAAACUAAUACACUCCCCUUAAGUCAAACUUGGAUAUACCUAACAUUUGUAAAGAACGGUUACUUCAAAAAAAAAAAAAGCUUUUGUAACCAUUUUCUUUUGGAUCCUUCCAACAACUCUGCAAGAUAUCACAAUGGUUAUUUUGCAAAUGGAGGAACUGAGGCUUAAGAAAGUAAAGGAAUUUACUUCUUGUGCAGCAAUAAUGGGCAGAGCUGCGGGACUGGAGCUGCCCUUGCCCUCUGCUCUCCUAGCAAUUUUCUUUUAUGAGCAAACCUACACGGUGUAAACCUCCUGGGCAACUGUUCUUUUCUGCACACUUCACUAUAUGAACGUGGAACAUUUAUAGAGAUAGCCUGUAAGAGCUGAAUUCCUGCUGCCUCUAACUCCAGACACUUUCGCCUGAAUGUGUACUUCUCACUACUGAUAAACCCGUGACUCAGCUGGAAAUCCUCGUGGUGAAGGAACUGAACACAGAAAACACACAUUCGUAAAGACCAGGUGUGGAAGUCUCCAGCCCUGUUUGCACCGCAGCAGACAGGGACACCACAGCCACACGGUACUUGGAAACCCGAGCUUGAGAUGAUUGAUGGAAGUGUUAAAAUGCCAGAGCAUUUGGGGAAUGUGGUAUGGGCAGUCCCAGAAGAAAUGGCCCUGCUCAGAUGCCAUCCUGUGGGGUGCGGCUUAAUGGGGCCACUCACUCAUCUGGGAUGUGAAACUUUGAAGACAAAUACCUGUUUACUUCAUUCGCCCCAGAUUUUAUACAUGCUUUUUAAAAAACAACUUUAUUCAUGUAUAGCUAGGAUAAAAUGAACAGCACAUAUUUAAAGUGCCCAAUUUGAUGAAUUUUGAUAUUGGUGUACAUGUGUGAAACUGUCAUCACAAUCAAAAUAACAAACGCCUCCAUCAUUUCCAAGUUUCCCCAUGUCCUUUGUAAGCCCACCUUGCUCCCCCUUCCCCCACACAAGCCCAACCUCCCAUCCCUUCCCAGCAAUCAUUGAUACGUUUUCUGUCUCUAUGGCUUAGUUUGCAUUUUCUAGAAUUUUAUAUAAAUGAAAUCAUACAGUAUGUGUUAUUUUUGUCUGGCUUUUUUUUCCAUUUAGCAUAAUUACUUUGAAAUCUGCCCAUACUGUUGUCUGUAUCAAUAGUGUAUUCCUUUCAUCUCUGAGUGUCAUUCCAUUUUGUGGAAAUGCCAUAAUUUGCUUAUUCAUUUGCCUGUUGAGGGACAUUUGGAUUGUUUUCCAUUUUGGGCCAUUACCAUAAAGCUGCUAUGAACAUUUGUAUACGUGUGGACAGAUGCUUUUAUUUCUCUUGAGUAAAUACCUAGAAGUGGAAUGGCUGUAUAUUUAGCUUUGCAGAAACUGUCAGACUAUUUUCCAAAGUAGUUGUACUAUUUUACAUUGUUAGCAGCAGCGUAGAAGAGUUCCAGUUCCUCCACCCACUUGUCAACACAUGGUAUCGUCCAUUUCUAAAGUGUUACCACUACUAGGUGUGUGGUGGUAUCUCAAUGUGAUUUUCGUUUGCAUUUCUCUAAUGACUAAUGAUGUUGAGCAUCUUUUAAUGUGUUUAUUUUGCCUUUCAUUUAUCUUCUUUGGUGAGGAGAGUGUGUUCAAACCUUUGGCCCAUUUUUUUAAAGUUGGUUUAUUUGUCUUCUUGUAAUUGAGUCUUAAGAAUUCUUCACAUAUCCUAGAUCCAAGUUCUUUGUGAGAUAGAUGUUUUGCAUUUAAUUCAGUAAGAUAUAUAAACAAGAAAGGCUUAUUGUGAGUCCCUGAACCAUGCUAAGAGAUGAAAUAGGUACCAUUUGUUCAACAUUAAGUAUAAAUUAUACAUACAAAAGCUACAUAUAUCCCACAGAUGAAUUACUUUUCAUCUCUCCUUAAUGGCACUAGUGGCUCUUAGCCAGAUGGGCUGAAAGAAAGCUCCCUGUCCCUACCUUUCCAAGUAUUCUUUAUUUCUGGCCUCUUGUCCCUGGGGUCCUUUCCUAAUUCCACACCCCACUCUGAUCCACACCGGCAGAUGGACAACUUUGGAGGCAGUAAUUACCAACGUCUUUCAGGUGGAGUCUUCAUCAGCCACCCAUCCUGCACUGACUCAUGUCAAGGAGGGGCAGCUGCCUGGAACCCUGUUUUCUCCCCACUGCUAGAGGCUGGGGCUCUUUCUAGAUUCUCCUGACUUCAUGCAGAAAAUUACCAAUGUUUUGGUUGUGUUACCUCAGUGAUUUUUUUCCGCUGAUUAAAAAUUAACUCCCUCAUUGCUACCAAACCUCCCUUCCUCAGGGCACCAGCUGGGUGGUUGCUGCUUAAGGAUGAGCAGCGACUUCUGAGCAGCGCAGAAUCACCCCCUAGCUUACUUCUGUCCUGGAGACCCUCAGCUGGGAGCCCACAACGCUAGUCUGUGCUCAGGCUCCAGAGCUUUCCUCAGAAUUGAUUCUAGAACCCCAGAGGCAGGCCUGAGGGAGACGAGGAGGGAGAGUCCCUGGGCAACGUGCUUCCUGAAAGCACAUGUCAGAGUGAAAGCGUGUCCUUAUAAGUGGGAUUCUCACAGCAGUGGAGUGACUUUGCACAAGACACUUUACCUCUCUCAGCCUCCCUUUCUUCAUGAUAAUGAUAAUAAUCCUCACUACAAAUCUGUAUUUCAUCACAGGACAAUAGGAGAAAUCUGGCCAUCUCAUACACUAGGCCUCCCCAAGUCGCUGUCAUCUCUUUGCUGGGUUGUUGCAAUCACCUCCUCAAAGGCCCCACUCCCACAUCUGCAGUCUCUCUUCAUACUACAGCCAGGAGGCUCUUUAAAACCAGGAUUUUGUCACCAACUUGUCAAAAACCCUCAAAUGGUUUUCAGUCUGACUCAGAGUAAAAGCUAAGGUCGACACCAUGAACUGCAAAGCCCCGCAGGAUUAGAUGCUUGCAGCCUCUUACCUCUUAAGCUUUCCACCUCUCUCCUUCCCUUGGCCAUGGCCUCCCUCUGUGUGGUCUGGCCAUUCUGCUUCAUGAGGGCCCUUAGCACAGACUGCUCUCUCCACAGCGUCUCCCCUCACGUGUCCACCGGGCUCCCUCUCUUCCCCCAGCUUUCUGCUCAAGUGUGGCCUUCAUAGGGCUGCCUUCUUAUCCUCCCUUUCCCUACCUCUUUGCUUUAUAUUACUCAUGGCACUUGCCACUGCAUGAUGUAUUAUAUGUUUAUAAAUGUCCCUGGUGUCUGCCUCUCCCCAAUAAAGCACAAACACUGUAGCAG
rnacentral:lncRNA from 1 species